AAUCAACGCUGGCGGCGUGCCUCAGACAUGCAAGUCGAACGCGAAAUUUCCCUUCGGGGAGAAAGUAGAGUGGCGCACGGGUGAGUAACACGUAGGUAAUUUGCCUUUGGGUGGGGAAUAACUCAGGGAAACUUGAGCUAAUACCGCAUAAUGCAGCGGCUCGACAUCGAGACAGUUGUUAAAGCGGGGGAGUUGGAGCAAUCCGACCUCGCGCCUAAAGAGAAGCCUGCGGCAGAUUAGCUAGUUGGUAAGGUAAUAGGCUUACCAAGGCGACGAUCUGUAACCGGCCUGAGAGGGCGGUCGGUCACACUGACACUGACAUAC
rnacentral:rRNA from 1 species